ACCUCCCCUGCAGCGGAAGUCUUUUUCUUAUCCUCGAGUACACCAUGGUCAACACUUCUCUCUCACAAUCCAUGGUCAAACACUGAGCAUCUCUUGCUCUCUCUCCACCUCUCAUGAUUCACUUCCAGACUAUUAGUUAUGGCCAAAGCUUCACCCGAUCAUGGAGAAACGUACUCGACUGAGCCCGGUCACCAAACCCAAACCAUGGGCUCUGAUACCAUUUGUAGGGAGGGGUUCCACACUCACACAUACACAUAAGUCUCCACAUUUGAUAAGAUAUUGUCCACUUUGGGCCAAGCCCUCACGGAUUUUCUUUUGGUACCACUCCAAAAGGCCUCUUAUCAAUGGAGGUAUCU
rnacentral:lncRNA from 1 species